rnacentral:tRNA from 1 species
GCCGAGGUAGCUCAGUCGGUAGAGCAGGGGACUGAAAAUCCCCGUGUCGGCGGUUCGAUUCCGUUCCUCGGCACCA